rnacentral:tRNA from 1 species
UACUAUGUGACUGAAGUUAAAAGUGUUGGUCUCUUAAACCAAUUUGUAGUUGAUACUUAUAGUUA